UACGUAGGGUGCAGGCGUUAAUCGGAAUUACUGGGCGUAAAGCGUGCGCAGGCGGUUUCUUAAGUCAGAUGUGAAAGCCCCGGGCUUAACCUGGGAACUGCGUUUGAAACUGGGAGACUUGAGUGUGGCAGAGGGGGGUGGAAUUCCACGUGUAGCAGUGAAAUGCGUAGAUAUCUGGAGGAAUACCGGUGGCGAAGGCGGCAUCCUGGACCGACAUUGACGCUGAGGAUCGAAAGCUAGGGGAGCAAACGGG
rnacentral:rRNA from 1 species